GGAGCUCUCCUUGAUGAUCCUGUCCAGCUCACUCUUCAAGUUGUCCCGCUCCAUUUUCAGCUCCUCCAGAGACAAGUUGUAUUUGUUGACCAACGUCUCGAACAUUUCCAGCACGCGGACUAUCCUAAACUGUAAAUCCGAGACUUCUUCGCCCGUGCUGCUUAUUUUCAACAAAUCUCGCCCGAUUACAUACGAAAUGUCAUACACAUCUUCAACCGUGAGCUCAAACGCGUCCUUCUCGAAAGCCAAGGCUGGCGACGACUCUUCAACGAACUCCAUGGCGGCGAAACGAUAAAAACACCGGAAUAAAGCAAACUUUACUCUGCCAGCUACUACCAACAAAACUCUAUAAACAGCGCUUUCUUUCUUGUUGUCUUCGCUUCAACACAUUUACUGGCAGAAGGUUACUAACUUCCAGAGCAGCAGCACUUCCCCCAUCACUCACCCACCAAUGACACGACUCGUUGGACAGCAGAGAGGAGGGCAAAGUAUCCUAGAGACAGAGCUCCGGAGAGGGGAAGGACUCUUAUCACACUCAAAGCAGUUCGCCAGGAAGUCAGAGUCCCCUCCACACUCCACCCACACUGAAUCUGGUUUGAUGGAGUUGGAUGGUGAGGCGGCGGCUGCUGCUGAAGACUGGAUUGAUAAGUCCUUUUCCUUACGGUUAUCUGUGGUGAUGGAGGUGAUGACAUCCCAGAUCUGGCAAGAGAGGUUUCUUCUAUGUCAGUGACCUCUCUCUCCAGGUCCCACCCCCGGAGCUCCUUUCUCAGCCUCGUGACCUCCAGCUGCAGAGCCUCCAGCUCCUGCUGCUGUGCCUGGGCUGCAGCUUCCAGCUCAGCCCUCUGCUGGAUCAGUGCCUUGCCCUGACCCUCCAUCACCCCCAUCCUGUGACGAAGGUCCUGGUUAAUUUUUAUCAGCCGAUGCUGCUGCAUCUGGAGCUACAUGUCAGCUCGUGGUCUUUAGCCCGGAUUUCAUCCCUCUGCUUAUCCACCAAGUCUUUCAGCUUCUUCAUCACCUGACUCUCCUUCUCUGACAUUCCUGUGGUAUCAGAGAAAAAAACACAGAAAAAUGUUCAUGCAACAUCAAUGCAAUCUAACAAGAGGCUGCCACACCAUUAAACAGAAAAGUGUUUUUUCUAUUUUAGUGCGUGUGAAGGUGUGAGUCUUAAGUAUUUUCG